CCGCCCUCUCCAGCCGCCGCCGCCGCCGCCGGCAGCUGCUCCGCCGCCCCCUGGGUGAUGGCGGCUGGGUCCACACACGCGUUGGGCCGGAAGCACAGCUCAUACGCCAGGCUCACACGGCCGCCGCCGGCAGUAGCAGCUGAUCCGCCAGCACUGCCACCGCCAGCUACAGCCACAGGCCGCACGCGGUGCAGCGCCGGCUGUAGCAGCCCGCCCAGGGCGUACGACAGGCUGUAGCCGCACAGCACCGCCACGCGGCCAGGGCCCAGCGGCACGUCCACCCACGCACCAGCCCCAGCGCCCGCCCCCUGUCCUUGCUGUGGCAGCUGCACCUGCAGCCCCUGCUCCUGCGCGCUGGCCACCAGCGUGAGCACACCGCGGUCGUGGUGCGGCGCGAAGGCCAGCAGCUGUGCGGCGUGCGGGUCGGGGCUGUAGCGGGCGCAGCGCAGCAGGCUGGCGCUGGCCUGGCCCAGCAGCGGCGCGUCAUCCAGCAGGCCCAGCACACGGCCGGAGUGGACGUCCAGGCCGGGGCUGCGACACAGCGCGCACAGCAGGCCGCGACACAGCCGGUCGGCGCGGGAGGAGGCCUGCACGCAGUCAGGGACAACGACGGAUGAGGGGGCACGUUCAGAGCCCAGAGCUGCAGCGACUAGUCCUAACGUAGUGGUCUUCCAAUGCGUGCCACUGGCAGGCGAAGGGGCCGCAAGCUCACCUUCUGCAACGCGGCGUGCUGCGUGCGAGAGCGGCCCGAGCCCCACGCGGGCGCGCCGGGCCGGACUGCGAGCAGCUCCUUGCCCGGCCGAACUGCGUAUCCCUCGCCCGGCACGGCGCUCUGGGCGCCUUGCUUCACAGGCUCAUCAGCACUAAAGAAGACGGUGCAGGUCUCCAGCGCUCUCGCGAAAGCUGAGAACUCCUCAUCGCUGCCUAGCUCCAGCACCGAAACGCCCUGUUGCUGCAGUCGAGUCCAUAGUUCAUUACAGAAUCUGGCAUAGGCGCUAGCCCUGUCGGCAUCCGGCACAAGCUCAUCGAGGAAAAGCAGGUGUUGCUGCACCGACAGCGGUGCCAGGAGUUGUGGUGUCAUUCUGUUUUACAGCAUAAUUGCCUUUAUAGGAAGGUAUGCAAAAUGCAAUACACAAGGAGCACACUUGGAGUGGUUGCAGGCUGAUGCGACGACCCUAAAUGCGGGGCCGAUUCUCCAGAGCGCGACUCAGAAUGUAAAUGUUAUACCAUUGUAAAAAGCUCAUUGCGCUUAAUACAACAAUGCAUUAAUGUCAAGGAGCAUUUGGGCACGCCCUCGCACCCCCCGUCCUGUACACCGCAAGCCGACAACCGCGAUGUAACUCGCUCGGCCUCCUACAGCACUCAGACGACAUUACCAGCCAUAUGCAUAAUGCUGUAGCUGAAAAGUAAAGCUGCGCCAUCGCGUCGGGCAAGUUUGAGUGCAUGACAGACAUCUUAGAUGCUCCAGCACAUCGGCCGGUAUCAGAGGGAGGCCCAAGCAGCGGAUGGGUGAUUAUGACAAUUGGAUAGCCGGAGGAUGCCCUAGUGGGGAAGGGGAGGGCACACCGGCGGGGGAGGUGAAGACGGACGGCAGCGGCGGCAGUACGGCUUUUGCGUGCUCGGACUGCCAUCGCCUGCAACCUGGAGCCGCCCCGCGCCACGCUAGCACGGGCCGGCGCGCGAAGAGCGGGCGACAGGCACCCGCGAACACCACUGCAGACGGGCGGCGGGCGGCGGAUGGCAGGCGAGAUGGAGUAACGUUAUGCCAACAGGUUGGGGCAGCCCGGCAGCAGGCGGCAGCCCGUGUGGCGCCGCCCCGUCCAGGUAGACAUGGAGCCGUGUCAGGAGCCAGGAGGUCGAGCGGCGGGCACGGCUGGGCGGGCGCAAGCGUGGGGAGCACAGGCAGGGACGCGGACAAGCUGUGCCUGCCCCUGCCUCCCCCUGUCCACGUCCCUGCCUGUGCUCCUCUCUGCCUUCUGCCUGUCCGCCUGUGCCUCCCCCUGUCCAUGUCCCACUGCCUCCCUGCCUCUGGGGCUGUGCCCCCUGUCCAUGGACCUGCCCGCCCUGCCUGUGCCUCCCCCUGCCUCCCUGCAUGUGCCCUGCCCUUCCCCACCAGGGCAUCCUCCGGCUAUCCAAUUGUCAUAAUCACCCAUCCGCUGCUUGGGCCUCCCUCUGAUACCGGCCGAUGUGCUGGAGCAUCUAAGAUGUCUGUCAUGCACUCAAACUUGCCCGACGCGAUGGUGCAGUUGUACUUUUCGGCUACAGCAUUAUGCAUAUGGCUGGCAAUGUCGUCUGGGUGCUGUAGGAGGCCGAGCGAGUUACACCGCGGUUGUCGGCUUGCGGUGUACAGGACGGGGGGUGCGAGGGCGUGCCCAAAUGCUCCUUGACAUUAAUGCAUUGUUGUAUUAAGCGCAAUGAGCUUUUUACAAUGGCAUAAAAUUUACAUUCUGAGUCGCGCUCUGGAGAAUCGGCCCCGCAUUUAGGGUCGUCGAGGCUGAUGUUGGUCCAUCACACAGUCGGUACAUCGUCCUCACGACGUCCCUCCGUCCCUGCUCCUCCUCCCAAUUGCGUCCUUGCGUCAGAUAACUCUUCCCUUCCUACUCGAGCAUAGGCAGUAUCACAGCAGUUGCAAUAGUAAGCUGCAAACACUUAGUUGUGCCAGUCCUCUGCAAGACAGUCCUACGAGCCUCCGCACCACUUCCGCCCCCCCCCCCCCGCCUCCGCCUUCUUCCCGUCCACACUGCUCUGCCUUUGACCAUCAACAAGACAACAGCUCAUCCUUAACAUCCAGCAUUCCAGCAGCGCCCGGAUAACAAAUCCUGGAUGUAACGUACCCAGCUGCCUGUGCCCCCCUGGGUAUCCAGGCUCGCUGCUCCCCCGACCGCGACUGCCGCGGCGAGGGGCUGGGCGGCCGCAGCCGUCCGCCCUUGCCGUGUCAAACCCGAUGACACAGUCGCGCAGGCACAGGUAAAUCCAAACGCACUGACCCGUGCUGGCUCAGUCCUCAUAGCCGGCUCAUACAACUGCCGUACAUGCUGUACGCAUGGGCCCCUUUGCUACCUGUGAUGAUGUGCAUUUACGGUAUGGCGCGAACCCUGGCGCGUGCCAAAGGAGCAAUAACUAUCACAAUCGCGUUCGCACGCCACCUUUGGCUGCUAUCGAAAAUGGAGGUCACCGAUCCUACAUCACAGCACCAACCAACGCGCCCGCCACCCCAGUCCUCCGUAACACUGUCUAGGCUCAGUCCUCAUUCUGCGCUGGCAACCUGAAGUCCUUAGUCUAGUUGCCAAUCUGAUUUACGAAGCAGUCAAGCACGUCGCCGUCUUGCAAGCCCGGCAGCUCAUCGGCGGUCAUGUCAUCCCGCACGCGGCAUUCGUUGAACACGAAGCGGUGGUUGGCGAUGUCCAGGCCCUGCCUGCUGCAGUAGGCCUCAAAGACUCUGCCCAUACGUGUUGAUUGCUUCACCUCAAAGCGCACCGCCGAGCCGCUCUGAUCUUUGAUAAUGAUUUUGAUCGCGCCACCGGCCCACUGCCCCGCCGGCGCCUCCGCCUGUCCCCCGUUGCCGCCGCCUGCUGGCGCCGGCUGCGACAGUGCUGAGGGUGCGGCAGCCGGGCUGCCAGCCUGCUUACCCGUUGCCGGCGCCCUGCCAUGGCGGCCCCGCUUCACCGCGGGUGCCUCGUCCCCUGCCGCAGUCCGGUUGUCCUCCCGCUGCCGCCUUGCCGCCGCCGACACACCUGCUGCACCUCCGUUGGCUGCUGCUGCUCCUGCGUCGUGGCGUGCCGUGGCACCGGCAGGCGCCUGCUGCUCCCGCUCCUUGCUGCUGCUGCCGCCGCUGGUGCCAAAUGGCUUCUUUGUAGCAGUGCCAGUGAGCGCCGGCGCAGGAGCAUCUUGCCUGCUGUUCUGCUGCUGCUGCUGCUGCAGCCGCAGCGAUGUCCGGCGUUGCUGCCCGGUGGCGUCGCUGGGCGGUGCUUGGCUAGCGCCCUGAGGUCCCUCAGCAGCGCCGUUCGCAACAGCAGCCCAGCCUCGCCCCGCCGCCUUCUGUGCCUGCGCGCCGCUGCGCCCCGCCGCUGCCGCCGUGGCCGCCGGCUUCUGAUCUCCCUCCCCCGCGUCCGUCACUAGACUAGCCUCCUCCCGCUGCCGCCUAGCCGCUAGUUCCUGCUGCGCCCGCGGCUGCGCCUGCUCCACGCGGACGCCGCCGUUGAUGGACACCGGGUGAGUGGCAUCAAAGCGCUCCAUCAGCGCGCACGUCAGCAGCGCAGGCCUGCAGAGGGGGCGAAAGCCAGACGUCAGCAGUUACGCAGCAACAACGCAACUGUAAGCAUAAUGUAAGCUACUCAGAGGCCGUAGGUCGGCCACUGCGGUUGCACAUGGCACGUACAGAGGCGCCUACCUGCUUGCGGCGCCGCCCUCUCCAGCCGCCGCUGCCGCUGCCGGCAGCUGCUCCGCCGCCCCCUGGGUGAUGGCGGCUGGGUCCACAAAUGCGUUGGGCCGGAAGCACAGCUCAUAUGCCAGGCUCACACGGCCGCCGCCGGCAGUAGCAGCUGAUCCGUCAGCACUGCCACCGCCAGCUACAGCCACAGGCCGCACGCGGUGCAGUGCCGGCUGUAGCAGCCCGCCCAGGGCGUACGACAGGCUGUAGCCGCACAGCACCGCCACGCGGCCAGGGCCCAGCGGCACGUCCACCCACGCACCAGCCCCAGCGCCUGCCCCCUGUCCCUGCUGUGGCAGCUGCACCUGCAGCCCCUGCUCCUGCGCGCUGGCCACCAGCGUGAGCACGCCGCGGUCGUGGUGCGGCGCGAAGGCCAGCAGCUGUGCGGCGUGCGGGUCGGGGCUGUAGCGGGCGCAGCGCAGCAGGCUGGCGCUGGCCUGGCCCAGCAGCGGCGCGUCAUCCAGCAGGCCCAGCACACGGCCUGAGUGGACGUCCAGGCCGGGGCUGCGACACAGCGCGCACAGCAGGCCGCGACACAGCCGGUCGGCGCGGGAGGAGGCCUGCGUGCAGUAAGGGACAACGAGGGAUGAGGGGGCACGUACAAAGCCCAGAGCUGCAGCGACUAGUCCUAACGUAGUGGUCUUCCGAUGCGUGCUACGGGCAGGCGAAGGGGCCGCAAGCUCACCUUCUGCAAAGCGGCGUGCUGCGUGCGAGAGCGGCCCGAGCCCCACGCGGGGGCGCCGAGCCGGACUGCGAGCAGCUCCUUGCCCGGCCGGACUGCGUAGCCCUCGCCCGGCACGGCGCUCUGGGCGCCUUGCUUCACAGACUCAUCAGCACCAAAGAAGACGGCGCAGGUCUCCAGCGCGCUUGCGAAAGCCGAGAACUCUUCAUCAUCGACCAGCUCCAGCACCGCGACACCCUGUUGCUGCAACCGAGUCCAUAGUUCAUUACAGAAUCUGGUAUAGGCGCUAGCCCUGUCGGCAUCGGGCACAAGCUCGUCGAAGGAAAGCAGCUGUUGGCGCACAUUUAGUGUGGCGAGCAGCUGAGCCAUGCUUCCGCGUGUAUUCAUGUAUUGCACACGAUGCAUAUAUAAGAUACAACAAUUUAUACAGAUAAGCUAACCGGUUGCUUGGUGAGUUCCGAUCUCGGCGGAGAAACUCGACUGACACGACCCCACCCCCGACAAGCGCAGACCUUCCCUUGCCCUCUCCUCCUAUCUCCCUUGCCUCCCUGCGUCUAAUCACUCUCAGCAGCCUCCGUCCAUAUGCUUAGUUACUGUGCCAUUUCUAUGCAAUCCAGUCCUCCGAGCAUGCACACCGCUUCCCCCCUGUCCUUUGCACCUCGAAUGGCCCAGUCCCGGCCUACGCCUGAUUUAGAAGUUGCUCUGUCCGUGGUCUUUAAAGUGCUUGCGUUAUUUGCUCUACUACUCAUACACCCUCAGCACAUAACAGCGCCUGGACCACAUACGUGGGAUUCAAAGUGCUCCCUCAGUCCUCCAUGCGCUACAUGCUCCUUCCCAUUCCGUGACUGCCAUACUAUCUUGCGCAAAGCUACAUCAGCGAUGGCAACAUGACGUCGUAAGUUUAGUUGCCUGCCUGCCCGAUGAUGCAAUCAAUGACGUCACCGUCUUCCACCAUUGGCAGCACGUCGCCUGGUUUCAUCCCCAGCUGACCGACCGUGAUGUGAUCCCGCACGUGGCUGCCGUCAUACAGGAAGCGGCAGCUGUGGUUGUCCAUGCCCUUCGCGCAAUAGUAGGCGUCGAAGACUUUCCCCACACGUGUUGACCGCUUCACCUGGAAGUGCACCUCCGAGCCAGACUGAUCUUUGACGAUGAUGUUGAUCCUGUCGUCGCCAUUCUCCCCGGCCGCCGCCUCCGCCUGUCCCCCGUGGCCGCCGCCGCCUGCUGGCGCCGGCUGCGACAAUGCAGUGGGCGCGGCGGCCGGGCUGCCAGCCUGCUCAUCCGCCGCCUCAGGCCCGCCGUCAUGGCGGCCCCGCUUCACAGCGGGUGCCUCGUCCCUUGCCGCUGUCCCGUUCUCCUCACGCUGCCGCCUAGCCGCAACCGCCGCCGCCGCCGGUGUGUUGGCCCCCGGAUCCUGCUUCACGCGGACGCCGCCGUUGAUGGACACCGGGUGAGUGGCCUCAAAGCGCUCCAUCAGCGCGGACGUCAGCAGCGCAGGCCUGGGGAGGGGACGGGAACCAGACGUCAGCAGUUACGCAGCACCAACGCAACUGUACGGUAAGCAUAAUGUAAGCUACUCAGCGGUUUCAAGCUGACCGCUGCCAUUGCACAUGGCGCGUACACAGGCGCCCACCUGCUUGCGGCACCGCCCUCUCCAGCCGCCGCUGCCGCUGCCGGCAGCUGCUCCGCCGCCCCCUGGGUGAUGGCGGCUGGGUCCACACACGGGUUGGGCCGGAAGCACAGCUCAUAUGCCAGGCUCACACGGCCGCCGCCGGCAGUAGCAGCUGAUCCGCCAGCCGCACCGCCACAGCCAGCUACAGCCACAGGCCGCACGCGGUGCAGUGCCGGCUGUAGCAGCCCGCCCAGGGCGUACGAC
rnacentral:lncRNA from 1 species